UGGGUAACCUGCCCAAGAGACUGGGAUAACACCUGGAAACAGAUGCUAAUACCGGAUAACAACACUAGACGCAUGUCUAGAGUUUAAAAGAUGGUUCUGCUAUCACUCUUGGAUGGACCUGCGGUGCAUUAGCUAGUUGGUAAGGUAACGGCUUACCAAGGCAAUGAUGCAUAGCCGAGUUGAGAGACUGAUCGGCCACAUUGGGACUGAGACACGGCCCAAACUCCUACGGGAGGCAGCAG
rnacentral:rRNA from 1 species